UACGAAGGGGGCUAGCGUUGCUCGGAAUCACUGGGCGUAAAGGGUGCGUAGGCGGGUUUUUAAGUCAGAGGUGAAAUCCUGGAGCUCAACUCCAGAACUGCCUUUGAUACUGAAAGUCUUGAGUAUGGGAGAGGUGAGUGGAACUGCGAGUGUAGAGGUGAAAUUCGUAGAUAUUCGCAAGAACACCAGUGGCGAAGGCGGCUCACUGGCCCGAUACUGACGCUGAGGCACGAAAGCGUGGGAGCAAACAGG
rnacentral:rRNA from 1 species